CCAUUACACUUCCAAUCUCUAAAUGAAGGUGAUCAUACUUGAUGUUGCCAUACCAUCCACUCAGUUCCCAAGCACAAUUCAAAGGAAAGAGAAGGAAGUGACAGCUAUCUGGAUCCUUCUGUGUCCCUCAAUUAUUUUCAUGAAGAAGAAAUGUAAAUCCUGCUGAUUGCCAUAUGAUAUAAAUCAAUAGGCUGUUUUCUUUACAUUAGGUCAAUGCAACCGUUCAGUGGAAAUUAUUAACUCUCAUCAAUUAUCUUUUCCUCAGUGAGAAAACUGACAAAUACCUGCUAUAGAGAGUAGCUGCUCAAAAGGGACUGAAAGCUCCUCCAAAGAAAUGUCAGCUAUUUCUCCUGGCACCUUCUGACCUACUCCUACUGGGAAUGGAUAACUAUAAUUGGUGACCAGCUGUAAUCUUGGGAUCACUCUUCACUAUCAUCUUGGUGAUUUCCUGGGUCUCUACGAUUGAGAAGACAGAAGCUCCCCUUCUGGUUUUCAGAGAAGAGCUUGUUUUCUGCUCUGGUAUUAUUACUUUCUUGUUAUUUCUUGUUUUUUUUAAAAUUUUAUUUAUUUUUUUUAUACAGCAGGUUCUUAUUGGUUAUCCAUUUUAUACAUAUUAGAGUAUAUAUGUCAAUCACAAUCUCCCAAUUCAUCACACCACCACUCCACCCCCCCGCAAUGCUUUCGCCCCCCUGGCAUCCAUACAUUUGUUCUCUACAUCUGUGUUUCAAUUUCUGCCCUGCAAACAGGUUCAUCUGUACCAUUUUUCUAGGAUCCACAUAUAUGCGUUAAUAUACGAUAUUUGUUUUUCUCUUUCUAACUUAUUCUACUCUGUAUGACAGUUUUUAGAUUCAUCCACAUCCCUAAAAGAUGACCCAAUUUCGUUCCUUUUUAUGGCUGAGUAAUAUUCCAUUGUGCAUAUGUACCACAUCUUCUUUAUCCAUUCGUCUAUCGAUGGACACUUAGGUUGCUUCCAUGACCUGGCCAUUGUAAAUACUGCUGCAAAGAACACUGGGGUGCAUGUGUCUUUUUGAAUUAUGAUUUUCUCUGGGUACAUGCCCAGUAGUGGGAUUGCUGGGUCAUAUGGUAAUUCUAUUUUUAGUUUUUCUAAGGAACCUCCAUAGUGGCUGUAACAAUUUACAUUCCCACCAACAGUGCAAGAGGGUUCCCUUUUCUCCACACCCUCUCCAGCAUUUGUUGUUUGUAGAUUUUCUGAUGAUGCCCAUUCUAACUGGUGUGCGGUGAUACCUCAUUGUACAUUUGAUUUGCAAUUCUCUAAUAAUUAGUGAUGUUAAGCAGCUUUUCAUGUGUUUGUUGGCCAUCUGUAUGUCUUCUUUGGAGAAAUGUCUACUUAGGUCUUCUGCCCAUUUUUGGAUUGGGUUGUUUGUUUCUUUAAUAUUGAGUUGCAUGAGCUGUUUAUAUAUUUUGGAGAUUAAUUCGUUGUCUGUUCAUUCAUUUGCAAAUAUCUUCUCCCAUUCUGAGGGUUGUCUUUUCGUCUUGUUUGUAGUUUCCUUUACUUUGCAAAAGCUUUUAACUUUCAUUAGGUCCCAUUUGUUUAUUUUUGCUUUUAUUUCCAUUACUCUAGGAGGUGGAUCAAAAAAGAUCUUGCUGUGAUUUAUGUCAAAGAGUGUUCUUCCUAUGUUUUCCAUUAGGAGUUUUAUAGUGUCCGGUCUUACAUUUAGGUCUCUAAUCCAUUUUGAGUUUAUUUUUGUAUAUGGUGUUAGGGAGUGUUCUAAUUUCAUUCUUUUACAUGUAGCUGUCCAGUUUUCCCAGCACCACUUAUUGAAGAGACUGUCUUUUCUCAAUUGUAUAUUCUUGCUUCCUCUGUGAUAGAUUAGUUGACCAUAGGUGAGUGGGUUUAUCUCUGGGCUUUCUAUCCUGUUCCACUGAUCUAUGUUUCUGUUUUUGUGCCAGUAAGAUAUUGUCUUGAUUACUGUAGCUUUGUAGUAUAGUCUGAAGUCAGGGAGCCUGAUUCCUCCAGCUCCAUUUUUUUCCCUCAAGACUGCUUUGGCUAUUCGGGGUCUUUUGUGUCUCCAUACAAAUUUUAAGAUUUUUUGUUCUAGUCCUGUAAAAAAUGUCAUUGGUAAUUUGAUAGGGAUUGCAAUGAAUCUGUAGAUUGCUUUGGGUAGUAUAGUCAUUUUCACAAUGUUGAUUCUUCCAAUCCAAAAACAUGAUAUAUCUCUCCAUCUGUUUGUAUCAUCUUUAAUUUCUUUCAUCAGUGUCUUACAGUUUUCUGCAUACAGGUCUUUG